rnacentral:rRNA from 1 species
UACAGAGGGUGCGAGCGUUAAUCGGAAUACUGGCGUAAAGCGCGCGUAGGCGGCUUUGCAAGCCGGAUGUGAAAUCCCCGGGCUCAACCCGGGAACUGCGUCCGAUACUGGGAGGCUUGAAUCCGGGAGAGGGAUGCGGAAUUCCAGGUGUAGCGGUGAAAUGCGUAGAUAUCUGGAGGAACACCGGUGGCGAAGGCGGCAUCCUGGACCGAGACUGACACUGAGGAGCGAAAGCCAGGGGAGCAAACGGGAUUAGAACUACCGUAG